AUGAUCCAUCUCUACCGAGGCGACCCUUCCAAGCGAUUCAUUGACCCGGCGGCGGCGGUGCGAUCCGCGCUGGCGGAGGCGCUGGUGCACUACUACCCGCUGGCCGGCCGGCUGCGCGCGGAGGCCGGCCGGAAGCUGGUUGUGGACUGCGCCGGGCAGGGCAUCGUGUUCGCGGAGGCGGACGCCGACAUCGCCGUCGACGAUCUCGGUGACGUGCGGUACCCGCCGUUCCCGCGCUCCGAGAAGUUCACCUACGACGAUCACGUCUACAGGGCGCCCCCGGCCGGCGUGCCGCUAUCCCUGCCGGCAAUCAUCGACCAGCCCUUGAUGUUUGUCCAGGUGACACGGCUCAAGUGCGGAGGCUUCACCGUGUCCCAGCAGAACGCUCACUGCAUCUGCGACGGCCCCGGCCUGGCGCAGUUCUGGAAGGCAGUCGGCGAGCUCGCCCGCGGCGCCGGCACGCCGUCCGUGCCGCCCGUCUGGGCCAGGGAGAUCUUCAACGCGCGGCAGCCACCGCGCCCUUCCUUCGCUCAUCACGAGUACAGGGAGCCAGCAGACGGGCGCGACCGGUUCGAGUCCACGCCACCGGACGCCAUGGCGCGCGUCCAGUUCUCCUUCUGGCCUGACGCGAUCGCCGCGCUGCGCGGCCGGCUCGCGCCGGGAGCGGCAUGGGCGUCCCAGUUGGACCUGGUAGUGGCCUGCGUGUGGCGGAGCCGCACGGCGGCGCUUGGCUACGCGCCCGGGGACGAGGUGCGGCUGAGGAUGCCGGUGAACGCGCGCGGCCGGCGCUGUUAG
rnacentral:rRNA from 1 species